rnacentral:rRNA from 1 species
UAGAGUUUGAUCCUGGCUCAGGAUGAACGCUAGCUACAGGCUUAACACAUGCAAGUCGAGGGGCAGCAUCAUCAAAGCUUGCUUUGAUGGAUGGCGACCGGCGCACGGGUGAGUAACACGUAUCCAACCUGCCGACAACACUGGGAUAGCCUUUCGAAAGAAAGAUUAAUACCGGAUGGCAUAGUUUUCCCGCAUGGGAUAAUUAUUAAAGAAUUUCGGUUGUCGAUGGGGAUGCGUUCCAUUAGGCAGUUGGCGGGGUAACGGCCCACCAAACCAACGAUGGAUAGGGGUUCUGAGAGGAAGGUCCCCCACAUUGGAACUGAGACACGGUCCAAACUCCUACGGGAGGCAGCAGUGAGGAAUAUUGGUCAAUGGACGAGAGUCUGAACCAGCCAAGUAGCGUGAAGGAUGACUGCCCUAUGGGUUGUAAACUUCUUUUAUACGGGAAUAAAGUUAGCCACGUGUGGCUUUUUGUAUGUACCGUAUGAAUAAGGAUCGGCUAACUCCGUGCCAGCAGCCGCGGUAAUACGGAGGAUCCGAGCGUUAUCCGGAUUUAUUGGGUUUAAAGGGAGCGUAGGCGGGUUGUUAAGUCAGUUGUGAAAGUUUGCGGCUCAACCGUAAAAUUGCAGUUGAUACUGGCGACCUUGAGUGCAACAGAGGUAGGCGGAAUUCGUGGUGUAGCGGUGAAAUGCUUAGAUAUCACGAAGAACUCCGAUUGCGAAGGCAGCUUACUGGAUUGUAACUGACGCUGAUGCUCGAAAGUGUGGGUAUCAAACAGGAUUAGAUACCCUGGUAGUCCACACAGUAAACGAUGAAUACUCGCUGUUGGCGAUAUACAGUCAGCGGCCAAGCGAAAGCAUUAAGUAUUCCACCUGGGGAGUACGCCGGCAACGGUGAAACUCAAAGGAAUUGACGGGGGCCCGCACAAGCGGAGGAACAUGUGGUUUAAUUCGAUGAUACGCGAGGAACCUUACCCGGGCUUAAAUUGCAACUGACUGAACCGGAAACGGUUCUUUCUUCGGACAGUUGUGAAGGUGCUGCAUGGUUGUCGUCAGCUCGUGCCGUGAGGUGUCGGCUUAAGUGCCAUAACGAGCGCAACCCUUAUCGAUAGUUACUAGCAGGUCAUGCUGAGGACUCUAUUGAGACUGCCGUCGUAAGAUGUGAGGAAGGUGGGGAUGACGUCAAAUCAGCACGGCCCUUACGUCCGGGGCUACACACGUGUUACAAUGGGGGGUACAGAAGGCAGCUACACGGCGACGUGGUGCUAAUCCCGAAAGCCUCUCUCAGUUCGGAUUGGAGUCUGCAACCCGACUCCAUGAAGCUGGAUUCGCUAGUAAUCGCGCAUCAGCCACGGCGCGGUGAAUACGUUCCCGGGCCUUGCACACACCGCCCGUCA